rnacentral:rRNA from 1 species
AUCUUCCACAAUGGGCGAAAGCCUGAUGGAGCAACGCCGCGUGAGUGAAGAAGGUUUUCGGAUCGUAAAACUCUGUUGUAAGGGAAGAACAAGUACAGUAGUAACUGGCUGUACCUUGACGGUACCUUAUUAGAAAGCCACGGCUAACUACGUGCCAGCAGCCGCGGUAAUACGUAGGUGGCAAGCGUUGUCCGGAAUUAUUGGGCGUAAAGCGGGCGAAGGCGGUCUUUGAAGUCUGAGGUAAAAGCCCCCGGCUCAACGGGGGAGGGUCAUGGAAAACGGGGGACUUGAGUGCAGAAGAGGAAAGUGGAAUUCCAAGUGUAGCGGUGAAAUGCGUAGAGAUUUGGAGGAACACCAGUGGCGAAGGCGACUUUCUGGUCUGUAACUGACGCUGAGGCGCGAAAGCGUGGGGAGCAAACA